rnacentral:rRNA from 1 species
UGGGGGAUAUUGCACAAUGGGCGCAAGCCUGAUGCAGCGACGCCGCGUGGGGGAUGAAGGCCUUCGGGUUGUAAACUUCUUUUGCUCUGAACAAGGCGCACUUUGGGGUGUGUUGAGUGUAGGGGUUGAUUAGCGCCGGCUAACUACGUGCCAGCAGCCGCGGUAAUACGUAGGGCGCGAGCGUUGUCCGGAAUUAUUGGGCGUAAAGGGCUUGUAGGUGGCUGGUUGCGUCUGUCGUGAAAGCUCAUGGCUUAACUGUGGGUUUGCGGUGGGUACGGGCUGGCUUGAGUGCAGUCGGGGAGGCUGGAAUUCCUGGUGUAGCGGUGGAAUGCGCAGAUAUCAGGAGGAGUACCGGUGGCGAAGGCGGGUCUCUGGGCUGUUACUGACACUGAGGAGCGAAAGCAUGGGGAGCGAACAGG